rnacentral:lncRNA from 1 species
UUAGAUAAACAGGAGAAAGAAUGGGGCCGUAGCUUCCAGAGAGAGGAGCUCUGCACCGGCGGGGUGCGAGGAAGGCAGGCGAGGGAGGCGGAGGGAGCCCAUACUCCCACCUCGGCGCCUCUCCUCCCGCAGCAAACGCUCAGCCCCCGCCCUCUCUCUCCGUUCCGGACCCUCCACCCGGCUGGCGAGAGGGCAGCGCGGGAGAGGCGGUGGCAGGGCUCUGACUGUCACGUUCGUUCCCUGCUGCUUUUCCCGUCCCCAGCCUCCUCGCCCCUCCUCCCUCAUCCUCAGCCGGGGUUUGGAGGCGAUUCCCCUCUAGUGACUGAGACGAUCGCAUCUGGGCGAGCGGCGCUUCGCCUCCCUCGCGUCUUUGUCUCCUCCUCCUGCAAGGCUCCGGGGCCGGGCGCAGGGUCUGCAGCAGCCGCCGCAGAAGCGGGAGCCAAGCGGUGCUCCGCACGGCCGCCCGGAGCCGCACCCUCGCUCGGUGGAGGCGCCGGAGGACGCCGGCCAGCCACGCACAGCCGGCGUCCCGCGCUCCUGCCGCCGCGCACUAACGCCGCCGCCGCCGCGGCGGGGAACGAGCCCUCCCGGCCGGCCGGGUCCGGGGUGGGCAGCCCGGCUGGCAGCGGGGUGGGAAGAGCGGGCGCUGCAGCUCUGGCAGCUCACACCCCCAGGCAUACGCAUCCAACGCCUCUUCCCUGCGCCACGAGGAUGGAGCAGCCACCCCGGCCCGGGACUGGCGCAAGAAAAGGCAGCUCCUGAUGGUUUGAUAAUCCCAGGAAGAAGGUACCCAAGCAAGGACAGGAAUAAUGAAGAGACACAUGUGUUAGCUGCAACCUUUUGAAAUAAGCAAGAAGGAAAUCAGCAGUGUGGACAAGGCUGGAACCGUUGCCACGCUUGCUUGUCGGAGUGAAUGAGGAAUGGGCUUGU